GGCUCGGUGGUGAAGCGGACAUCAUAUCUCGCUUCUAACGAGAAGUUCCAGGUUCGAUUCCUGGUCGAGCCA
rnacentral:tRNA from 1 species